AAUGAAUGCGAUCCAAGAGAAGCUCUUAUUCUGGCAAGUCAGGAACUAUGGCUUUGAAGAAUUCCCUCGCAUACCUGGACAGCUCUUGGGUGGAAAUUUACUCCGCAAUUCCCCGCAGACGAAUGUUGCUACGCCUGUCUCGGUCCUCAUGAUCAGCCACUUUCUCUGUAAGAAGGUCUAUUUUAGCAUGAAGGUCCGUGUUGGUUGUUGUUGUGAGCUUAAAUUAUUUCUUCCAUUUUAUCUUCAAGUUGCGCUGUCCAUUCCGCUAUUGCCUGGAUAUCAGCCCGCACAUCUCUUGC